UACGUAGGGGGCAAGCGUUGUCCGGAAUUAUUGGGCGUAAAGAGCGCGUAGGCGGUCCGGUAAGUCGGUUGUGAAAGUCGGGGGCUCAACCCUCGGAUGCCGAUCGAUACUGUCGGGCUAGAGUCCGGAAGAGGCGAGUGGAAUUCCUGGUGUAGCGGUGAAAUGCGCAGAUAUCAGGAGGAGCACCAAUGGCGAAGGCAGCUCGCUGGGACGGUACUGACGCUGAGGCGCGAAAGCGUGGGGAGCAAACAGG
rnacentral:rRNA from 1 species